ensembl:snRNA U6 U6 spliceosomal RNA
GCGCUCGCUUCGGCAGCACGUAUACUAAAAUUGGGAUGAUACAGAGAAGAUUAGCAUGGCCCCUGCACAGAGAUGACCUGAAAAUUCGUGAAGCAUUCCAUAUUGUU